rnacentral:lncRNA from 1 species
GCCAGCACUCCUCCAAGCUGGUGGCUCCCUUAAUCUCCCUGUUGCUAGGGCAUGCUGACAUGCUCCACUGGUACUAGUUCCAGCAUGGUGUGGGGGACUGCGGAAAGAAAGAGUAAAGGGCUGAUCAAACAGAGUCCAAUUUGGGAAAAAAAAGAAAGAAAGAAAGAAAAAAAAAAAGUAGCUCUUUUAGAUGGGGAUAGGAAAUUCACAAUGGGGGCAAGUAGAGGGUGAAUGAUAAGGCCUAAAGGACCUCAUUAAAUUGAGGCCAGCUGUGCAGACUUACCUUAUUUCACUCUCUUUCUCCUGCCACCCCCAUGAUAGAGAACUUCUAUCAAAGUGGUGAGGCAGGAUGACUUCCUCAUAAAAUGUUUGAUGGAAAUAAAAGUAGAAUUGUUUUCCUGAGAAUUUUUGUAAAUCCACCCUUUAAAUGUUUGGGAAGCAAGCUGGAGCCUCAGUGAAGUGUGCUGCUUGAUUGAAUAUAUGCUGCAGGUGAGAGUCCCACGGAUCAUUACCAUUUCCUCCUCACCUCAUCUGGACUCCCAGGAAACAGAAGGUGAAAGUUAAAUAGGGCACACAGAGCUCCAGAGAGGCAGAAGUCAACCUCCAAGUGUAAAUGACCUCUGGUAAGUGGCUACUAUUUGCUGCCUCAGAAGGCCAAGGAUUCCACCACAGCAUGUCUCAGUGAGCGUAUGGGUAUCUUGAGGAGCUGGAGGCUUCGGGCAGCUGCAAGCUGACAGAACCAGUGUUGGAGAGCUGGAAAGCAACGCUCACCUUCUGCCUGGAAGGCGAAAGAGAAGAGGGACUUGAGAAGAGGGACUUGCCAACUGCACAAGGGAUGGGUCAGGAGCAGGAGCUGCGUACCAGGGCUUCAGGUGUGAGGAGCUCCAGCAGGGCCUCUGCCUGCUGCCCCAAGUGCCCUGCUCCCAGUGUGUUUAGCAUUAUAGUGAAUCAAAGAAACACGUUUCUAUCACCCCGCUCAUUCUAGGGGGCUCCCGAAGCACACAGCUGGAGGAUUCAUUCUCUCACUACUGAAACACAGCCCCUUUUGGGGGCAGAGCACUGCAGCUGUUUAAUAGCUCACAGCAACAUCACACAAGCAGAUGGAAAAGAAAGCCAAAUGUGUAAGAAGUGUUCUUUCCACUUUCCUUCUAACCUUUCCUUUCUCUCCUCUUUGUCUCAAGCUUUUUCUGUCGGUUUCAGACAACUCCAGAUGCAUGUCUUUCCCACCAAUAUCUGAAGGAUUUGGCCCUGCAGAGGGGGAUCUGCUGCCAACUUGCUUCUUGUAGGGCUCCCAGCCCAGGGGUCUGCAGCCUGCUGCUGUGCUGUCCCCCCAUGUUGUGCUGCUGGACAGGCAGGAGCGCUGCAAGGGCUGGCUCUGCCUUCUUCCAGGGGAGGGGAGCCUUGAUGUAGUUUGUUUGACACAGACAAGGCUCUCCUGCCUUCGAAGUAUACUAGAUGACUGCAUUAAAGCCCUGAGGUAACCAAAGGUGGGCCUGGACCUGGAUCUCCCCUGAACUUGAUGGGAAAAGGAACUGUGCAUCCAAGCUUCACAGCAGGCCCUUCUCCCUACCAUGCAACAAAAACCCAAGUCUCUUCUCAGUAAGAGGAGGUGUUGGGCAUAUGCCAGGAUAGCAAAUGUAAACAGGCAGCACCUCAUCAUUCCUUAGAGGGUGCUACCAGUAGACGCACACCCUGAAGGACAGCAGCACUGAACCUCAUGGAGAGUCUAUGGGAGAGACGGUUUAUGGAGAUGUCUGAGGUACAAAGAGCCCCCAGUGUUCUGCAACACAGUGGCGUGUGUUGGCCCUAAGGCACUUACUGGUGCGUGAGCCUAUGUGUUGCCAGCAGCCAUGCCACAGUAAAACUCUGGAGUAAUGCAGUGAGUUCAGUCCUGCAACAGUGUUAGAAAGUCUGUCAGGCAGGUAAGCAACCUCAGUAACGUAAGAGAAAAGGGAGGCAGUCUUCUGCCUUCUCAAGAUGCCUUUUGCUUUGGAAAGAGAGGGAAUCAAGUCCCUGAAAAAGAGUUUGAAGACUGCUCCACAUCCACAAUCUACAACCCUGGCAUGGUUUCCCCGUGCCCUAAAGCAGAGGCAAAAAUAGGAGGUGAAUAUAUUCAUUACCACAAACUGCAUAGUGAAACCAUCAGAAUGGGUAUUCUAAAAAAAGAAAUGAAACCUUUGCUUACGAAUAGACCUAAAAGAAUUGAAUACAUGUGUACAGAGGGAUCAUUUUCCACUACCUACAAGAGGAAAAAUCUCUGGGGAAGUGGCUGAUGCCAAAUAUUUUCUUAUGCUUCAUGUGUCAGCAGGGGCUCGCAGAAGCCCUUAAAAAACAGAACACGCAUUUUGUGCAAAUUGAGAAUCACAGUUUCUGGUGAUUUAGACUGCUUCACCAAACUUGAGACAUUUCUCCAAAAAUACAACAGAUGUCUGAUGAUGGACCAAGUUUUCAGCAUUUACACAGAUCAGAUGAUGUUAAGAUCAGCAGAAAAAAAACCAACACAGAAUAACAUGCUAAAGGGCUUCAGAGCUGCCUGAGAAGAAACUAAGCUGGCUAGACAGACAAAAAUGCUAAUUUCUCACAGCAACUAUAAAACGCUGUCCAGAGACACUGUCAGAGCCAGGUAUACAGCAAGGUUACAGAGGAGCUGAGAUGUGUGCAGAAGCAGCGGGCACAAAUACUUGCUGAAAUGAGAGCCCUAGGAGAUGUGCGCAACUCGGUCGUGUGACCUGCCAACCUCAGGGCACUGCUGUAAGGCAUCCAGCUGACUUUGGCUACAAAUGAUAACAACUGCAGAAAAUGAAAGAGGUGACUGAAGAGGAGGCAGCCCCAUGGUAUCUUAACGGCACACACGAGACAGAGUUGUCCCCAGAAGAGAACUGAGCUAAUGGUCUUGCUAUAUAGUCAGAACUGGAGGACAGUAAUUUCUGUGCAAUAAACACUAACAAAACCUGACUGUCAGAGAGAAAGGAUUUGGCAUUUGCCCAAGAAUGUAAAAAGUUUCCUCGAUUAUGAUUUAAUUUUUAAGAGAACCGACCGUAAGCCACUUGCUGUGAUUGCCAAACUGGCCUGACAAACCCCCUCUCCUCACAGACACGAAGAAUUUUUUUUCACUUACGAAUUUAUGAUUUGCAGAUUGGGAGGGAUUUGGCAGGUUCAAACUUAAUCCCUGGAGCAUUUGAUGAAAAUACAAUGAUGCAAAGUCCAGAGCUAGACUUUGUAGGUGAUGAUUUGCUUAAAAAUGGUGGGGAUGAAAUCCAGCAGAAAAUGUAAGAGACGGUCACUGAAUAGUCUCAGCUUUGUUACUGACUUCAGAUAAAGUAUGAAUGUACAAAAAAUGAUAUAACCUCUCUUGAUGGUUAUUUUCUACUUGAGUAAAGGUAACUUUACUGUAAGGAACUAGUACUAAAAACAUGGCAGGGUACAUCAAACUUCUCGCUGCUAUACAUACCGUACCUGCCAAGGGAAACAAGCUCUGACAAUGGAGCAGGAAUAAAUAAAUGUAAGACAUCUGCAGUAUAUACAGAUUUAGUUCUCCUACUCUAGCUUCAUUAUUCCUCAUCAAAUGAGUAGGUAGGAAAUAGUAUCAAAAGAAGCUGGCAACUACUGAGAAAAUGUGUGGAAUUAGGCUGUUUUAAAUCUCUUAUAUCAAGGUGGAACCCAUGAAGGAAGUGCGUCAACUACUGAUAUUUUGUAUGAUGGAAAAAUAAAAUGAAAUUCUUUUAGUUCCUUUAGUCUCUCAAUUCCCCCUCAUCUUCAGGGGUUCCCUUUAAGUCACAGGUGUUUGGAAGAAGAGUAGAGAGAGUCCAGGGCACAGCAAACUCCUAACAAAAUGACCUACCACCCUUAACAACUGUAGGAGUGAUUUUCCAGAGAUGCAAGCAAUGCCACCAGUUCCUCAAGAUUCAUCAAGCAGGGUUUACAUGUUAUUGGUUGUAAUUGUUUGCAGCCAUGUAUUAACACAUCUCUGAAUUCUGAUUUGGAAAACUCAGUGAUUGGAGGACCUCUAGCAUUAACAAAUGCCCUUUCCAGUUUGUGAAUCUCAAUCAGGUGCUGCAAAGCCCUCAUUUUAUUGUGAACAGCUGGAUGAAACCAAAUGCAUAACAAAGCAAAUCUUUCACAAGCAGCUUAAGCACUGGAUGCACAAUGAGGACAAUUGCAUUUCAGCCCAGAUGUAGUUGCACUUAAGCCACAGGGAAGUAAUUCAUUUAUAUGCAAACUUCUCAAGCACUUUGGGAUGAGAGUACUAUACACAAUCAGUUUAAUACACUCUACUUAUGUGACAAACUCCCGUUUUGUAUUAUUGUUUUCCUAGUUUUGCUGUGCCAAUCAUACUGCAACCCCUCGUCUUCAUUCUGAUCGUGGUGGAACAGCAGGCAGAUACUUUCAAAAAAUCCAGCAGAAUUAAAAACUUGCAAUGGAUAUUGUUCCUAUGCGUGCAUCCUGCCCAUGCUCAGAAACCGUUAAUGUUCCAUUUCUUUCUUCCAGGCCAACAAGUGGCUGCCGAUAUUCAUGUGGCAUUAAUGUGGCUUUGAACACUCAGUGUACUUUACCCAUAAGGUAGCAAAUCCUAGGCACUGUUUGUGGUGCUUGAGCAUCUCUUUCAGGGUCCCUCCUGCCUUCACUUUCUACUGUGAUGCUCUCCUGCCUCAGCAGAAACAACCAACCUACACACCAACAGCUGCAAAUUCUUCCUGAUUUGAGAAGUCUUCUGGAACAAUUUGGUAACUUGCUCUAUUCCUUUUUGUGGAACCCCGCAAAAAAUGUCUGAAGUGACUGUGUUAUCUAGUAGGUAAAUAAGGAGAUUAGAAACCCUGAAACCACCUUUGGUCUUGUACAGUACUGCUGAAAAUAGACAUCACAUGAUGUCUAAAUUAAGUAUGUGUUGACUGCCUAAGGCAGCUUCACCCCAAAUCGAAUGCCACUGUAUCAUGCAGUGCCUACACAGCUUCCCGUCUUUUGUUUCCUCAUCUGUAACACUCAGCCAUCCUAAGGGUGUAUUGAGAGUUCACUGGCAUUUCAGAAGACUUUUGAGAUUCUUGGAAGAACAAUCUAGUAUGAACACAAAACAGCUGAUAUUAUUUCUUCCUUUUUUAGUGACAUUCCUCUGCUGCUGAUAUUAUGCUCUCACAUUCCUGAGCUAAGCUUGUUUGAGGGACUUGAUUUUAGUUGGGCUUAAAAUCUGUUUUCUUCCACAGAGAGGAUGCUGAAAUACACCUUUAAGCACAGCAAACCUCAAAUGCUUGGAAGCCCUGCAUUCAAGGUCUCUUCAAACUGCCUUCAUCUGACCUUCUUCAUCUUUCUUGAUAAACUCAAACAAGGAAAGCUAGAACAGUUCAAUACAAGCAUGUUCUGCAUACCCUGUAGCCUCGUGCAAUUUGAACAAACGAUUUAGUACAGAUUAGAAGGUUUGGUUUCUAGCCAAAAAUCUGCAAUUAGAUACCCACAUGAUUCCAGUUUUUGACAGGAGGCAUAGUCCCAAAUUUGAAUAUAAAUUCCCACUCCAGGACCAAAGCUCUAUGUGGACUAUGUGUGUAGACACACCUUCUAGAAGCCUUGUAAAUACAAUCACCUCUUUUUUUCUCCAUCUAAAAAACUGGGACUGCAAUAGAGGUGUUUAGAGAAGUUCAUUUCUAGAAGUAUUUACAAAAGUUAAAUAUUGCUUGUUUCAGUCUUGUUCCAUUAUGAAGAAGUCCUGUAAUGUUUUCAUCCUCUGUUAAAGAGUUCUUCACUUGCACUCUUUACGUUGCUUAAUUAAAUUGUACCAGGUUGUUUCACGAGUUGGCCUCUCUUAUGGCUUUCUGCAGUUACAGAGCGAUGGAAGAGGGGUGUUUAGAGAGCAAGUAACAGAGGGAAUUGUUGACAAAAGGUUUCAGCUCCCUGGCUGUGCUCUCUAAGCAGCUCUGUCUGCAACAGCUCUUCUUUCAUGUUGCGUCUUUGACAGAACAAUUCCCAUUCAAAAAGCAUCAGCAAGCACUAGAAGCACACCCACAUGUUAGGUGCUCAAGCACAAUCCCUGUAGCUCUUGAAUUUCCCUCUCUGCAGGGAGGCCUUAACUUGGUGAUGCCAUUGUGAAUGGAUGAGUGGGAGAAAGACAUUAUCAGUAACAGUGGGUAAUGCAAAUGACAAUUUGCAUUAAGAUGGUGUCAGGCUUGGUCCAUGGCUUUCCACGAAGAUAUUGGUGCUAAAGCAUCUCCUGGGCAGGGCUGAGCCUUCAGAGGAGGAGAGCUGAAAUAAUCCCUGAUCCAGGAUGAGGGCACCAGAAGAGCUCUGUACCUCAAGGGUAGUGGAGGAGCCCUGCUGGCUGCAGCAAUGGAACUGGGGCCUACGGAGGCCUCAGAGCAGAAGAAAUCACACCUGUCCCUCCUGAGGUUGUGUGGAGCUCAGCUGGGGAAGUGGGCUUGUUAUGCUGGCUGUACCAUCAGCCGGUCCCUUUGGAAGUCAUGCUGGACUCUGAGAGACGGCAGUUCCCUUCAACACGCCCAGUCACACAUAGCUAAUGGAACCAGGAUUAUUGCAGCAAUUUAGGAAAAAAAAAAAAGGAAAGCAUGUAUUGCCAGGUUGGAUAAAACGUAAGGCUUGAUGUGGGCAGAGCUCCUGCCAGCUGAAGUGUUUGCACCUGGUCUUACUGGAAAUCCACGGGGCAGAAGAUUCUUGCUGAAGUGUUUGUGUUGCCAUCAGCAUGGCAGCGACUCUCCCGCACGUACUCAGACACCCAGGAGGCCAGGGCUCAGGGCUCUUCGAGGAGGUCAGUUUUUAUAUAGUAAAGCAAACAGUUUAGCUAAUCAAGGAUAUUUUUUCUUUUCUCUUCUGAGGCUCUUGGCAUCCAGCCCUGUUACUUGCAAUCUUUAAUUUGUACUGUGGCUUCCUUUUCCCUGCUGCCUUCUCACUCACUCCAAUUUUCCCACACACUUGUUUCCUAACUCUACCUCCUAUGGAGGUCGUCAUUUAUUUCAGACCCAAAUUUAUCUCAGUCCUACACAACGCUGCUGUUACCUCACCGUUUAUUCCUGUAAAAGACUGUCACUGGAUAUUCAUGAGAUUGACAAGUUUGUGGAAAAACAAUGGAGCCAUUUUUUGUAAGAUAGAAAAUAGUUGAUGGUUACAUCAGAUAGUUGUAAAUUUAUUCAUACACACUUGUAUAAAUCGAUUGUAUAUCAACUUGGACCUUCUUUUUGGUUAUACAGCUGUCUGAAUGGCAACAGUGG